rnacentral:lncRNA from 1 species
UCAAGACCUCUUUUAUGUGUAACCCAUAGGUUCUAUUAUAUAUGGUAGUGAGAAAUAUUUUGAUCUCCAUCAAAAUAUCAUUGAAACUUAUAGAUUGGAAUAAUUCUAACUCCUAAAUUGAUAAUUAUUGACCAUCAAAAUAAUUCUGGUUGGUCCCAUAAUCCAUCAGUGAUGCCUUGCAGUAUAUAGUAGCAACCUAAUAGAAUAGAAGAAUGAACCUCUAAGUAUAGUUAUCAUAUUAUUUAGUUCUUCUAUCAUGAGUCCCGAUAAGAUGGAGGUCAUGAAAAAUUCAUCAAAUCCCAUCAUCUGUCAUAUGUAAGAUUUAUUCGACUUGAGUUCAUUUGUGAAAUCUGAUGAAAACUCUUUUCUAUCAUUCAUAAUGCCCUGGCCA